ACAGAUCCUUGUGGCAAUAAAUCAGGAAAGCAUUCCUUCAGACAACUAGACAUCGACUGUUGGAAAGAGACUUUUCAUCUGAUCUGCAAACUGUGAUGGAAGAUUCUACAGAGUUCAUUCGAUAGAGAAGAUUAACAGACAUACAAAGAAAUAAAAGAUUGGUACUAACAUACAUAACAAUUCCUAAAUAUUAACAAAGAAGAAAAGAGACAAUGAAAAGUUAUUUAACAGUUAUGAGUGUAUUAAUACCAAAAGAGAGUACUUAUAACUAUAUAAC
rnacentral:lncRNA from 1 species